rnacentral:rRNA from 1 species
GACGUAGGGAGCGAGCGUUGCCCGGAUUCAUUGGGCGUAAAGAGCGCGCAGGCGGCUUGGUAAGUCGGAUGUGAAAACCCGGAGCUCAACUCCGGGCGUGCAUCCGAUACUGCCCGGCUAGAGGUAGGUAGGGGAGAUCGGAAUUCCUGGUGUAGCGGUGGAAUGCGCAGAUAUCAGGAGGAACACCGAUGGCGAAGGCAGUUCUCUGGGCCGUAACUGACGCUGAGGAGCGAAAGCGUGGGGAGCGAACAGG